rnacentral:rRNA from 1 species
CAGUAGCCGCGGUAAUACAGAGGGUGCGAGCGUUAAUCGGAUUUACUGGGCGUAAAGCGUGCGUAGGCGGCUUUUUAAGUCCGUUGUGAAAGCCCUGGGCUCAACCUGGGAAUUGCAGUGGAUACUGGGUCACUAGAGUGUGGUAGAGGAUAGUGGAAUUUCCGGUGUAGCAGUGAAAUGCGUAGAGAUCGGAAGGAACAUCUGUGGCGAAGGCGACUAUCUGGGCCAACACUGACACUGAGGCACGAAAGCGUGGGGAGCAAACAGGAUUAGAUACCCCGGUAGUCCCUGUCUCUUAUAC